ensembl:lncRNA
AGAACUACAAGGCCGGCGGGGGCCAGAGCCCCGCGCGAGGUGUGGGGGAAGGGACGGAAGCGGGGACCUGGAGCGGACACUACGGGUGGGGCGGCGGCUGGGGAAGGGGUGCGCGAGGCUGAGGGCGGGGUCUGGGGACGGGGACCUCCAGCAACCCCGACCAGAUCCCCAGCGUUGGAGCUAGAGGGACCCAGCCGGACAGUGCCGGGCUCGGACUCCCCAGGCCUGGCAUCCCGGGCCUGGCCCAGGCUUGGCUGCCGUCCGGGAGACUUCCUCCCUCCCCGCCGCCUGGAUUCUUGGAUCGGCCGCUCCUCUGGGGCACUGAGAUGGAGGACUCAUGCUUCUGAAGGGGUUUCCAGCUGGAAGAGAAGCCGUAGAGGAUACAGCAGAGAGGAGGCCUUGAUGCCUGGAGGUCUGUGGGGCAGACACAUGCCCACCACGUCCACCAGGGACAAAACUCAAGCAGAUGACCUGACAAGCAGGCAAGAUCUCUUAAGGCAAGAAGACAACACCUGCCGGAAUUAAGACACACCCUAAAGCACAAGGAUGGCCUCUUUAAAGAGCAGGUGGUUGAGCACAGACACCAAGACAGCCUGAGAGGAGUCCCGGAGAGGACAGGGAGAAAGAAAAUGACAGGCGUUCCCAGCAGAAGAGGCAGAGGAGAGCCAGGAGGCGAAGGAGAGAGUCGAAGCCGAUGCUCUCAAAUUAGAACUCAGACUAGUGAGCUCAGUGAGGAUGAGAGAUGAAAUUGUGUGACUGUCAAUAAAAUGAUCAGAGGACGAUGGCUGAUAAGACCCGAGGAUCAAAAAAGUGACGAGGGCACACUUGAAGCCCUGGCCGGGACAGCCACGAUCCAAGUUGAUAUACAUCCAUGUGUGACAUUUAAAAAUUCAUUAUAAUUAAAAUAUGCAUUGAAGGAAAGUGUUAGUCACUCAGUC